GAUGAACGCUGGCGGCGUGCCUAAUACAUGCAAGUCGAGCGAACAGACGAGGAGCUUGCUCCUCUGACGUUAGCGGCGGACGGGUGAGUAACACGUGGAUAACCUACCUAUCAGACUGGGAUAACUUCGGGAAACCGGAGCUAAUACCGGAUAAUAUAUUGAACCGCAUGGUUCAAUAGUGAAAGACGGUUUUGCUGUCACUUAUAGAUGGAUCCGCGCCGCAUUAGCUAGUUGGUAAGGUAACGGGUUAUCAAGGCAACGAUGCGUAGCCGAACUGAGCGGGUGAUCGGCCACACUGGAACGUAAACACGGUCCAGACUCCUACGGGAGGCAGCAGUAGGGAAUCUUCCGCAGUGGGCGAAAGCCUGACAGAGCAACGCCGCGUGAGUGAUGAAGGUCUUCGGAUCGUAAAACUCUGUUAUUAGGGAAGAACAAAUGUGUAAGUAACUAUGCACGUCGUGACGGUACCUAAUCAGAAAGCCACGGCUAACUACGUG
rnacentral:rRNA from 1 species